AACGCUAGCUACAGGCUUAACACAUGCAAGUCGAGGGGCAGCAUGGUCUUAGCUUGCUAAGGCCGAUGGCGACCGGCGCACGGGUGAGUAACACGUAUCCAACCUGCCGUCUACUCUUGGACAGCCUUCUGAAAGGAAGAUUAAUACAAGAUGGCAUCAUGAGUCCGCAUGUUCACAUGAUUAAAGGUAUUCCGGUAGACGAUGGGGAUGCGUUCCAUUAGAUAGUAGGCGGGGUAACGGCCCACCUAGUCUUCGAUGGAUAGGGGUUCUGAGAGGAAGGUCCCCCACAUUGGAACUGAGACGCGGUCCAAACUCCUACGGGAGGCAGCAGUGAGGAAUAUUGGUCAAUGGGCGAGAGCCUGAACCAGCCAAGUAGCGUGAAGGAUGACUGCCCUAUGGGUUGUAAACUUCUUUUAUAAAGGAAUAAAGUCGGGUAUGGAUACCCGUUUGCAUGUACUUUAUGAAUAAGGAUCGGCUAACUCCGUGCCAGCAGCCGCGGUAAUACGGAGGAUCCGAGCGUUAUCCGGAUUUAUUGGGUUUAAAGGGAGCGUAGAUGGAUGUUUAAGUCAGUUGUGAAAGUUUGCGGCUCAACCGUAAAAUUGCAGUUGAUACUGGAUAUCUUGAGUGCAGUUGAGGCAGGCGGAAUUCGUGGUGUAGCGGUGAAAUGCUUAGAUAUCACGAAGAACUCCGAUUG
rnacentral:rRNA from 1 species